rnacentral:rRNA from 1 species
GACGAACGCUGGCGGCGUGCUUAACACAUGCAAGUCGAACGGAAAGGCCCUGCUUUUGUGGGGUGCUCGAGUGGCGAACGGGUGAGUAACACGUGAGUAACCUGCCCUUGACUUUGGGAUAACUUCAGGAAACUGGGGCUAAUACCGGAUAGGAGCUCCUGCUGCAUGGUGGGGGUUGGAAAGUUUCGGCGGUUGGGGAUGGACUCGCGGCUUAUCAGCUUGUUGGUGGGGUAGUGGCUUACCAAGGCUUUGACGGGUAGCCGGCCUGAGAGGGUGACCGGCCACAGUGGGACUGAGAGACGGACCAGAGUCCUACGGGAGGCAGCAGUGGGGAAUAUUGCACAAUGGGCGGAAGCCGGAUGCAGCAACGCCGCGUGCGGGAUGACGGCCUUCGGGUUGUAAACCGCUUUCGCCUGUGACGAAGCGUGAGUGACGGUAAUGAGUAAAGAAGCACCGGCUAACUACGUG